ACGCUAUAACUUUUGAAAUAAUUAUUUCUGUUCUAUUUGAAAAAGACGAGAAUGAUAAGGCAGAGGAACUUCUCCGAGAAAUGAUUGCUAGAGGCUUAUUGUCCUCUCAAGCAUGUACGAAGAAAGAAAGUGCUGAAAUUCUCAUGUGCAAGUUUCUACCACAUUCACGCCAACAGAACUGAAAAUAGGACCGGUUUCUUCCUGUAGCAUUUGUUGCAUAGUUUGUGUUCUUCAUCUUCCUCUUUUUUAAUUAAAGUAAAAGGUUUGUAGUUAAUUAUGCUUUAAAAAGAUGCUAAAAGAAGACAGAUUGUAAUAUCCCUAUUGGAUGCGUUAAUUAGGUUUUACUUGUCCAAAUGUACAAUCUAUGGUUAUAAAACAGGUGGGCUAAUAUGAUACCAUGAAACCACUUUGUAGCAUUAAGCAGCUUGUGAAUUCUUAAUUGUUCUAUAUAGUGGUUACUGUUGUAUUUUUUUUUA